AUGGGGCAGGAAGUGGGGAACGGGACAGGAAGCGCCGCCCUACAAGUGGGGAGAGGGUGUGGGGCAGAGGAAAUAGGGGGGCGCCCCAUAGAUUCCGCUAUGGGUCCCUAUGGGGCCUCUAUGGGGUCUGUGGGGCUCUAUGGGGCAGAAUGGGGAUCUAUGGGGUCUCUAUGGGGCUCUAUGGGGCUCUAUGGGGUCUGUGGGGCUCUAUGGGGUCUCUAUGAGGCUCUAUGGGGUCUCUAUGGGGCUCUAUGGGGCUCUAUGGGGCUCUAUGGGUCUCUAUGGGGUCUAUGGGGUCUAUGGGGUCUCUAUGGGGUCUAUGGGGUCUAUGGGGUCUCUAUGGGUCUCUAUGGGGUCUAUGGGGCUCUAUGGGUCUCUAUGGGGUCUAUGGGGUCUAUGGGGUCUCUAUGGGUCUCUAUGGGGUCUAUGGGGCUCUAUGGGUCUCUAUGGGGUCUAUGGGGUCUCUAUGGGGCUCUAUGGGUCUCUAUGGGUCUCUAUGGGGUCUGUGAGGCCUAUGGGGUCUCUAUGGGGCAGAAUGGGGCUAUAUGGGUUCCCUAUGGGGUCUCUAUGGGGCAGAAUGGGGCUAUAUGGGGUCCCUAUGGGGUCCCUAUGGGGUCUCUAUGGGUCCAGCCCCACAUCCCCCCCUCCCCUCCCCUCCAUCCCCCUUCCAUCCCCAUCAUUCCUCCAAUCCACCACCGAGUCGCACCUCCACUACCCCUAGAGCGCCCCGACCUCUAGCCAAACCGGAAGCCUCUCUAGCCUCAAGCGGAAGUCUCGUCUUGCCUGACGUCACAUCCGGUUUGUAGGCCUUGAGGACGUCCAAGAUGGCGCUGCCCGCCGCCCUUCUGCGUGCGGCCGGUAAUGGGGUGGGGGGGGGGAGUAGGCCCCAUUAUCUUUAUUAUAACCCCAUUUUGACCCUAUUUUACCUUAUUUUACCCCAUUUUUAUCCCAUCUCCAGCCUUGCGAUGUCGGCUGCCAUUGGCUAACGUUGGGGUGAGUGUGGAGUUGUGGGAGUCUAUGGGGUUUCUAUGGGGUUUCUAUGGGGUUUUAUGGGUCUCUAUGGGUCCCUAUGGGGUCUCUAUGGGUCUCUAUGGGUCCCUAUGGGUCUCUAUGGGUCCCUAUGGGUCUCUAUGGGUCUCUAUGGGUCCCUAUGGGGUCUAUGGGGUCUCUAUGGGUCUCUAUGGGGUCCCUAUGGGUCUCUAUGGGUCCCUAUGGGUCUCUAUGGGGUCUAUGGGGUUUCUGUGGGUUUC
rnacentral:lncRNA from 1 species